rnacentral:rRNA from 1 species
UACGGAGGGUGCAAGCGUUAAUCGGAAUUACUGGGCGUAAAGCAUGCGUAGGCGGUUCGUUAAGUCUGUUGUGAAAGCCCCGGGCUCAACCUGGGAAUGGCAAUGGAUACUGGCGAGCUAGAGUGUGUCAGAGGAUGGUGGAAUUCCCGGUGUAGCGGUGAAAUGCGUAGAGAUCGGGAGGAACAUCAGUGGCGAAGGCGGCCAUCUGGGGACAACACUGACGCUGAGGCACGAAAGCGUGGGGAGCAAACAGGG